rnacentral:rRNA from 1 species
UACGUAGGGUGCAAGCGUUGUCCGGAAUUAUUGGGCGUAAAGAGCUCGUAGGCGGUCUGUCGCGUCUGCUGUGAAAACUCAGGGCUUAACCCUGAGCUUGCAGUGGGUACGGGCAGACUAGAGUGCGGUAGGGGAGACUGGAAUUCCUGGUGUAGCGGUGAAAUGCGCAGAUAUCAGGAGGAACACCGAUGGCGAAGGCAGGUCUCUGGGCCAUUACUGACACUGAGAAGCGAAAGCAUGGGGAGCGAACAGG